rnacentral:snRNA from 1 species
GUGGUCGCUUUGAUAGCAUAUAUACUAAAAUUGGAAUGAUACAGAUUAACAUGGCUCCUCUGCAAAGGUAACAUGCAAAUUUGUGAAGCACUCCAUAUUUUU